CCUACGGGUGGCAGCAGUGAGGAAUAUUGGUCAAUGGCCGAGAGGCUGAACCAGCCAAGUCGCGUGAGGGAAGACGGCCCUACGGGUUGUAAACCUCUUUUGUCGGGGAGCAAAGCGAGUCACGUGUGACUCAUUGAGAGUACCCGAAGAAAAAGCAUCGGCUAACUCCGUGCCAGCAGCCGCGGUAAUACGGAGGAUGCGAGCGUUAUCCGGAUUUAUUGGGUUUAAAGGGUGCGCAGGCGGAGGUGCAAGUCAGCGGUCAAAUUGCGGGGCUCAACCCCGUACUGCCGUUGAAACUGCAUCCCUUGAGUGCGCGAGAAGUAUGCGGAAUGCGUGGUGUAGCGGUGAAAUGCGUAGAUAUUAGGAGGAACACCAGUGGCGAAGGCGGCCUGCUGGACGACAACUGACGGUGAGGCGCGAAAGCGUGGGGAGCAAACAGGAUUAGAUACCCGGGUAGUC
rnacentral:rRNA from 1 species